rnacentral:rRNA from 1 species
GCCUCAGUAACUGCGAGUGAAGCGGCAAAAGCUCAAAUUUGAAUCUGGCUCCUUCGGGGUCCGAGUUGUGUUUGGAGGGGCAUCUUCGGGGUCGGCGCCCUCCUAAGUUCCUUGGAACAGGACGUCACAGAGGGUGAGAAUCCCGUGCCUGGGCGGCUGCCCGAUUCCAUGUGAAGUGCCUCCGACGAGUCGAGUUGUUUGGGAAUGCAGCUCAAAAUGGGUGGUAAAUUUCAUCUAAAGCUAAAUAUUGGCGAGAGACCGAUAGCGCACAAGUAGAGUGAUCGAAAGAUGAAAAGCACUUUGAAAAGAGAGUUAAACAGUACGUGAAAUUGUUGAAAGGGAAGCGCUUGCGACCAGACUCGGUCUUUGGGGGUCAUCCGGGUUUCGGCCUGGUGCCAUCCCCAUUGAUCGGGCCAGCAUCGGUUCCGGCGGCGGGAUAAAAGGUGAGGGAAUGUGGCUCUCUUCGGGGAGUGUUAUAGCCCUUGCCACAAUGCCGCCAGCUGGGACCGAGGACCGCGCUUCGGCUAGGAUGCUGGCGUAAUGGUCUUAAGCGACCCGUCUUGAAACACGGACCAAGGAGUCUAACAUCUAUGCGAGUGUUCGGGUGGAAAACCCUUGCGCGUAAUGAAAGUGAACGGAGGUGGGAACCCCUCACGGGGUGCACCAUCGACCGGUCCUGAUGUCUUCGGAAGGAUCUGAGUAAGAGCAUAGCUGUUGGGACCCGAAAGAUGGUGAACUAUGCCUGAAUAGGGUGAAGCCAGAGGAAACUCUGGUGGAGGCUCGCAGCGGUUCUGACGUGCAAAUCGAUCGUCAAAUUUGGGUAUAGGGGCGAAAGACUAAUCGAACCAUCUAGUAGCUGGUUCCUGCCGAAG